rnacentral:rRNA from 1 species
UACAUAGGGUGCAAGCGUUGUCCGGAAUUAUUGGGCGUAAAGAGCUCGUAGGUGGUUCGUCACGUCGGAUGUGAAAAUCUGGGGCUUAACCCCAGACCUGCAUUCGAUACGGGCGGACUGGAGUGUGGUAGGGGAGACUGGAAUUCCUGGUGUAGCGGUGGAAUGCGAAGAUAUCAGGAGGAACACCAAUGGCGAAGGCAGGUCUCUGGGCCAUUACAGACACUGAGAAGCGAAAGAGUGGGGAGCGAACGGGAUUAGAAACCCUGGUAGUCCACGCCGUAAACGAUGGGCACUAGUUGUGGAAACCUUCCACGGUUUCUGCGACGCAGCUAACGCAUUAAGUGCCCCGCCUGGGGAGUACGAUCGCAAGAUUA